CGAGUUUGAUCCUGGCUCAGAACGAACGCUGGCGGCAUGCCUAACACAUGCAAGUCGAACGAAGGCUUCGGCCUUAGUGGCGCACGGGUGCGUAACGCGUGGGAAUCUGCCCUUGGGUUCAGAAUAACUCAGAGAAAUUUGAGCUAAUACCGGAUGAUGACGUAAGUCCAAAGAUUUAUCGCCCAAGGAUGAGCCCGCGUAAGAUUAGCUAGUUGGUGGGGUAAAGGCCUACCAAGGCGACGAUCUUUAGCUGGUCUGAGAGGAUGAUCAGCCACACUGGGACUGAGACACGGCCCAGACUCCUACGGGAGGCAGCAGUGGGGAAUAUUGGACAAUGGGCGAAAGCCUGAUCCAGCAAUGCCGCGUGAGUGAUGAAGGCCUUAGGGUUGUAAAGCUCUUUUACCAGGGAUGAUAAUGACAGUACCUGGAGAAUAAGCCUCGGCUAACUACGUG
rnacentral:rRNA from 1 species